rnacentral:rRNA from 1 species
UAGGGAAUAUUGCACAAUGGAGGAAACUCUGAUGCAGCCAUGCCGCGUGUGUGAAGAAGGCCUUCGGGUUGUAAAGCACUUUCGGAGGGGAGGGAACAAAUAGACGUUACCCUCAGAAGAAGCACCGGCUAAUCCGUGCCAGCAGCCGCGGUAAUACGGAAGGUCCGGGCGUUAUCCGGAUUUAUUGGGUUUAAAGGGAGCGUAGGCUGUCCUUUAAGCGUGUUGUGAAAUGUAGGCGCUCAACGCCUGCACUGCAGCGCGAACUGAAGGACUUGAGUGUGCACGACGCUGGCGGAAUUCGUGGUGUAGCGGUGAAAUGCUUAGAUAUCACGAAGAACUCCGAUUGCGAAGGCAGCUGGCGAGAGCACAACUGACGCUGAAGCUCGAAAGUGC